rnacentral:rRNA from 1 species
UACGAAGGGGGCUAGCGUUGCUCGGAAUCACUGGGCGUAAAGGGUGCGUAGGCGGGUCUUUAAGUCAGGGGUGAAAUCCUGGAGCUCAGCUCCAGAACUGCCUUUGAUACUGAGGAUCUUGAGUUCGGGAGAGGUGAGUGGAACUGCGAGUGUAGAGGUGAAAUUCGUAGAUAUUCGGAAGAACACCAGUGGCGAAGGCGGCUCACUGGACUGGUAUUGACGCUGAGGUGCGAAAGCGUGGGGAGCAAACAGG